AGCGAACGCUGGCGGCAGGCCUAACACAUGCAAGUCGAACGAAGCCUUCGGGCUUAGUGGCGGACGGGUGAGUAACACGUGGGAACGUACCUUUUGGUUCGGAACAACUCAGGGAAACUUGAGCUAAUACCGGAUAAGCCCUUAGGGGGAAAGAUUUAUCGCCGAAAGAGCGGCCCGCGUUAGAUUAGCUAGUGGGUGAGGUAAAGGCUCACCAAGGCUACGAUCUAUAGCUGGUCUGAGAGGAUGAUCAGCCACACUGGGACUGAGACACGGCCCAGACUCCUACGGGAGGCAGCAGUGGGGAAUCUUGCGCAAUGGGCGAAAGCCUUACGCAGCCAUGCCGCGUGAAUGGUGAAGGUCUUAGGAGUGUAAAAUUCUUUUACCAGGGACGAUAAUGACGGUACCUGGAGAAAAAGCCCCGGCUAACUUCGUGCCAGCCGCCGCGGUAAUAC
rnacentral:rRNA from 1 species